CACAAAGUGUUUGGCUAUAUUUAAAGGUACAACAUAAUAUGUAGUAGUCCUUUAAAAGUAAACAAAAUAUGCAUGUCGACAUUAUAGUUAUUGUAUUGAUAUUAAUUAUACUAAAAAGCGUUGAUGGAUCCCAUUUUCUCGGAGGAAUGAUAACAUGGAAACAUACGGAUAAUCAGCAAAUAGAAAUAACAUGUAGAGUAUCAUUCCGUCGAGAUUUCUCUAACCACUUUUGUGAUGAGUACAACAUAUUUAAUACUGAUGUACCGUUAAGUGGAGUAGGAGGUGAACUAGAUUGCUAUAGAGGUUGUAACUCUGUUCUACUGGCUGAUCUGUCCUGCUACUGCACAGAUUUCAGUGAAAAAGACAAUUGGACAUUUGGUCAGAGAACCGUAAAUUUCUCUCUCCCUAAAACAUCGGACGACAUAUACCAAUUUCGAUACAGUGGUUCAGCUUGGAUAGAUAUAAUUGGAGGUGGAUCUGCUUGGUCAUUGCUAUCAACUGUUAAUAUAUCUAAACGCCAAGAUACUGGUAAAAUCAAUUCUCCACCAACAUCAUCUGUACCACCAUUUAUUCAAUUAAAACAAGGAUGUUUUUAUGUAUUGACAAUUCCAGUCGAAGACGGAGACAAUGAUAUAAUAGGAUGUCGAUGGGCAAGUGGCAGUAGUGAAUGUGGCGGCGUAUGUAACAAUCUGAUUAAUUCAGAAUUGAAUAAGGAUGCAUGCGUUAUCUCGUAUAACACAACUGUUGAUCAAAGUCUGUACGCUGUUGCACUACAGAUUGAGGAUUUUGCCACGGAACAAAGAGACAAUCAUUUAAGCAGUGUUCCAUUGCAGUUUGUAAUCGAUGUAACACAGAAUGACUCAAAUGAAUCGUGUGAACUGAAACCAGAAUUAGCCAAUAUUAAUUCUAACGUCGUAAUUCCUGUGAACACUACGUACCAUCAGACUAUUAUAGCAAUAGGAGCUGGAAUUUCCGAAAUAAACGUUCUUACCUCGACAGAAAUAUCCAAAUCGAGGUUGUUAAAGUAUGGGACAUCCAACGACCGAUGGUAUGUCAACGUCACAUGGACACCUACAGAGAUGGAUAUUGGAAAUCAUAGUUUAUGUUAUACAGCUUUUGAUAGUAUCAGUCAAGCUUCCGAAAAGAAAUGUACAACUGUAUACGUGACAAAUUCGACAAAUAUUUGUAGAGAAAAUCUGGACAAAUUUAAUACUAAAUGGAAUAUAGCAGCAGCAAAUACACACGCUACAUUAGCCUGCACUGGUGAAUACACUGGUAAUGCUUCGAGAUACUGCGAUAAUGAUGGAAAGUGGGAGGAACCGAACUACAUCAAUUGUAUAAGUAAAUCAAUACAAAAUCUGAAAGACCAGACAGUUAAGCUUUUAUCUGGAGAGAGUGACGAUACACUUGUGAGCACUAUAUUGAGAGAUUUAGAAAACAUAACAAAGGGUAAACAUGGAUUACGUUCUGGUGAUUUGCUGACAUCAUCAGCUGUAUUGAAUGAUAUUGCCAAGUAUGUUACAGAACACACUGAAAAACUUACAGUUGAUCAACUACAGAUCUUUGGUUCUCUUUGCGACAACAUACUAGAUGAUAGUAACCAUCAGUCAUGGGAAAAACUCAACAAUGAGGGAUUAGGUGGUGUUACUUCACUUGUAAACGCAGUUACAGAGUACAAUAAUGCGUUUAAUAAUGUUGUAGACGGUAAAUUCUCAAUAAUCGUUGAAAAAGAAAAUGUUGUAAUUGAAGUAGGGAAGGCUAGUUCGGAUGAGAUAAUUGUUCCUGAUCGUUCGAAAACAUCUGAUUCUUGGAUAGCAGAUUCAGCGACUGAAAUUAAACUGAAGACGAACAGAUGUAGCGGUUUGACGGGAUAUAGUAGCACAUUCUAUAGAAAUAUUUCAAGACUUUUUCCGGAGUAUUUAAUAUUAAAUGGGGAAAUACAGUCUUUUAAUGGGAGUUAUGAUGUAAAUUCUAUUAUAGCUGAUUUUACGAUUCAUGGAAGAUCUUGUUCGAAUUUUUCCUUACUAAUAAAAUUCGAUCAUAUUUUGGGAGACUAUUCCAGACCUUUUUGUGGAUUCUGGGAUUUCAGUGCUCCAAAUACUGUUAAUGGAGCUUGGUCCUCAUUUGGUUCACAAGUUGUCGAUGCUACAGAUUCUUACACGAUAUGUGAAUACAAUCACACAACUAAUUUUGCCAUAUUGAUGAGUCCAGGAAGGACACCAUUGUCUCACCAAUUACCACUUAGCCUGAUAUCAGCCAUUGGAAGUGGAGUGUCAAUUUUGUUUCUGGUCAUAACAGUUGUCGUUCAUUUUGUUCUAUGGAAGUUGUAUGUUCAGCGAUUGCAGUUACCUUACAUUAUAUGUUCCUAACAGACUUUGCUCUGAUGCUGGCUGAGGCUAUUCAUAUAGUGAGAAUGGUUGUUAUUAUUUUCCCUACCAGAUCUAUAGUUCAUAAGCUGCUACCUGCAUGUUGGAUUGUUCCUGCUGGUAUAGUUGGAAUUUCGGCCAGUGCGACUAGACUUAACGGAUAUGGCAAUCAACAGUUUUGUUGGUUAACCCUUGAAUCAAAUCUCAUCUGGGCGUUCAUUGGACCAGCAUUACUUGUGAUUCUGAUUAAUUUGAUUAUCAUCAUUAUAACUGUGCAUAAAAUGAUGACCACUAGAGGGCUUGCUGCGAAAUCACUUAAAGAGAAAUCUAAGAUUGGUUUGAAAAGUAUUUGUGUCAUCUUGCCGUUGUUUGGAGUAACGUGGGUACUAGGUGCUUUUUCUGUGAACGAUGAUCUAGUCAUUUUCCAAUACCUAUUUGCAAUUUUCAACUCUCUUCAGGGUCUUUUUAUAUGUCUGUUUCACUGUUUCUUGAAUAAGCAGGUCAGACAAGGCUACCGUAAAUAUCAAAAACGACGAAACGCUAAUCGCAUGGAUUCUAAACUAUCUACUGAUUCUUCUAAUUAUGACAGUAACAAAACACAACAACGCAUCAACGAUAAUCGGGUACAGAAGAAAGAAACGAAAAAUUACAAAAACGAAAGUCAAGACCAAAAUGUACAAUCCAAUCUUAGAUAUAAAUAUACCAAUUCAGCCUAUUCGCAGGAUGGUUAUUAACUGUCUUAGCAAAUUACUAAUAGAACUUAUGAGACACAUUAGUAGUGUUUAUUGUAGUAAUGAUUCGAUUCAUACCAUGAAACAGAGAAAGACACAACAAAGAGCAUACCACAUUGGUAUAAAGUAGUUUAUAAAGUGUACGUUACUAAUUCAAAAAGGACAUAGUUUUUAUUUAUAUUAACAAAAUGUAAUUAUAAUAUUACAAUAUUUUUAUCUAUUAAAAUUAUCAUUACAUAAUAAA